rnacentral:rRNA from 1 species
UCCUACGGGCGGCUGCAGUCGAGAAUUUUUCACAAUGGGGGAAACCCUGAUGGAGCGACGCCGCGUGGAGGACGAAGGCCUUCGGGUCGUAAACUCCUGUCAUGCGGGAACAAGAAAGUGAUAGUACCGCAAGAGGAAGAGACGGCUAACUCUGUGCCAGCAGCCGCGGUAAUACAGAGGUCUCAAGCGUUGUUCGGAUUCAUUGGGCGUAAAGGGUGCGUAGGUGGCGAUGCAAGUCUGGUGUGAAAUCUUGGGGCUCAACCUCAAAAUUGCACCGGAUACUGCGUUGCUUGAGGAUUGUAGAGGAGAGUGGAAUUCACGGUGUAGCAGUGAAAUGCGUAGAUAUCGUGAGGAAGACCAGUUGCGAAGGCGACUCUCUGGGCAACUCCUGACACUGAGGCACGAAGGCCAGGGGAGCAAACGGGAUUAGAUACCCGUGUAGUCGU